CACAAUUUGGGUGUGUGUGUGUUUAUUGGGGGUGGGGGGUCUUCGGCGCAGCUUUCCCGACCCCGGAGACCUAUGCUGCAGGUCUUCACCUUCUCUCAUCCCCCAUUUCUUGUCUGCCUACUUUUUCUGGACUGCUGUUUCUGUUCAAGAAACAAAACUUGUAGAACAAUAACCAGAAAUGUUUGUCAGUUGUGAACGUCACUGGUAGCAUUUUAAGUGUGCAAGACAGUAGGAGCAAUUUUCCUCUGUGUGGGCUGACCUCCAGCUGUGUAAUGCUCCUCUAACGGAACAAAGUAAUUAUGGCCGACCCAAUCUCUUGUUCUUGUUAAGUUGCCACUAUUUCAUGUUAAUGAAACGUGUCAGCAGCCAAAGUGUUUUUGAUGCUCUUUCCCACUAAUCUGAUGCCAGCCUUGAAGAAUAUUUUCUAAAGCCCUUCAAUAAACAUCCUGUUUUUUAAUGGACCUGUUUGCUGCUUGCCGAGCCACACAACACAAAACUCCAGUAAGGGCUAAAUGCUUUAGUACCCAAGAAAUGGAAUUUGAGAACUCUACGAUAUAUUUUAUUUGUGAAAACGAUGUGUGAAUGCUGGUAACGUGUUCCUAGUGAUGUCCACAUGCUGUGAUAGUCUUGUAUGUGUAUACACAUACAAAAACAUGGAAUACAAUCUCUUUUAAAUGUAGACAGCAUGAAGUUUCCUGUAAAAACCCUCACUGUGAAAAAUCCUACACAUUAGUAUAGGUUUAAACUAUGCUGCUGUCUUUACCAGAGUGCCAAACUGAUUGUAUGUUCCCAGUAGCUGAAUAAAAUACAUUGAGUGUU